GCGGCGGACGGGUGAGUAACACGUGGGCAACCUGCCCUGCAGACUGGGAUAACUUCGGGAAACCGGAGCUAAUACCGGAUAACACCGAAAACCGCAUGGUUUUCGGUUGAAAGGCGGCUUUUAGCUGUCACUGCAGGAUGGGCCCGCGGCGCAUUAGCUAGUUGGUGAGGUAACGGCUCACCAAGGCGACGAUGCGUAGCCGACCUGAGAGGGUGACCGGCCACACUGGGACUGAGACACGGCCCAGACUCCUACGGGAGGCAGCAGUAGGGAAUCUUCCGCAAUGGACGAAAGUCUGACGGAGCAACGCCGCGUGAGCGAAGAAGGUCUUCGGAUCGUAAAGCUCUGUUGUCAGGGAAGAACAAGUGCCGUUCGAACAGGGCGGUACCUUGACGGUACCUGACAAGGAAGCCACGGCUAACUACUUGCCACCACCCGCGGUAAUAC
rnacentral:rRNA from 6 species